CAUUACAGUUUUCAGUUUACACAACCGAACCGACCAUCAGAAAUUAGGCAAAAUUAUUAAGGUGUGAAAAAUGUUGGGUUAAUGAGAUUCAUUCACACACGUUUCACAAUUGGAUUUAUCGUUAGAUUUGGAACAUCAUUGCUGUCCCAAUUCCACGUUGGCACCAACGCAAUCAAUCCAGAGACCAAAGCAAAAGCAAAAGCAAAAGCACCGAAACGAAGCGAAGAAGAAAGUAACAACAACAAAAAAUGGCAACGACGAUUCAAUCCGAUAUUCGCUCGGCUCUGCACGUAGCCACGUCGACCAUCCUCUCACGCGGCGGCGGCGGCGGCGGCGGCGGUGGAACCCGUCGAGCAGUGGCUGUUUGUUCGUUUCCCAUUAGGAGAACUAAGUCGUCGUUGAGGCUGAGAGCUUUCUUCUCCUCCUCCUCCUCCUCGAACGACGCCGUUUUGAAGAGUCAGGAAAAACCGCCGAUAUGUACGGCGGACGAGCUCCACUAUGUCCCCGUGUCAAACUCCGAUUGGAAGCUCGCCCUCUGGCGCUACCGUCCUUCCCCUCAGGCUCCUCCGAGGAAUCAUCCGCUGUUACUGUUGUCUGGAGUGGGAACUAAUGCUAUUGGAUACGAUCUCUCUCCUGAGUCUUCAUUUGCUCGGUACAUGUCUGGCCAAGGGUUUGACACAUGGAUCCUUGAAGUUCGAGGCGCUGGGUUGAGUGUGCAGGGAUCGAACACCAAAGAAAUUAAGCAGUCUGCCAAUGAAAGAUCGAGGCAGAUGGAAGCUGCUUCCAAGAGUAUGACCAAUAGUGCUUUUCCCGUGAAACCACAGUCAACUAAUAGCACUAUAGUUUUUGCAGAAUCUGAGACUUUUGCUGUCAAAGAAAAAGAAUCUGAGAGCAUGGCUGUCAAAGGAGACACAACGGGAAUGGCAACAGUGUGGGAUGAAUCAAGACUGGUAAUGAAAUUGACAGAAACCUUUAUGCGUUUGUCCGAAAGACUCUCUGGCUUUCUCAGUGAAGGUCAAUCCAAGAUCAUGUCUGCUAAAUUAUUUGAUCAGAUUUCAAGACUUUUGGUGGAUUCUCAGUUAUCCGGUCGAUUUAAUGAUAUAAGAGACAAGCUAUUAGGUUUGUUGGAAACAAGGCAAAAUUCCAGUAUUGCUAGCCAAAUCAGGGAUCUGAGCCAAAGGAUUGUAAAUAUCAUUGAUGAGGGCCAAAUAUCUGUUUCCCCUCCAUUGUUUGACUUGCAAGAGCGUUUUGUUUCAACAAUAGAAGAUUUCCAGAAGCAACUUGACUUGAUAGUGAAAUAUGACUGGGACUUUGAUCAUUACUUGGAAGAGGAUGUUCCAGCUGCGAUUGAAUAUGUAACAGCAGAAAGCAAACCAAAGGAUGGUAAAUUGCUUGCCAUUGGACACUCCAUGGGUGGUAUCUUGCUUUAUUCAACCCUUUCACGAUGUGCUUUUGAAGGAAGAGACUCGAGAUUUGCAGCUAUUGUUACUUUGGCAUCAUCCCUUGACUACACAUCUUCAAAAUCAUCACUCAAAUUGCUCUUACCACUUGCGGAUCCUGCGCAGGCUCUCAGUGUACCUGUCGUUCCUUUGGGAACAUUAUUGGCAGCAGCUUAUCCUCUCUCAUCUCGACCUCCUUAUGUCUUGUCUUGGCUUAAUAAUCUUAUUUCAGCAGAGGACAUGAUGCACCCUGAGUUGUUAAAAAAGCUUGUCUUAAACAACUUCUGUACUAUACCUGCUAAACUUCUCUUGCAGCUUACAACGGCUUUUCGAGAGGGUGGGUUAUGUGACAGGAGUGGUACCCUUUCUUACAAGGAUCAUGUACAUAAAGGCAAUGUCCCUAUCUUAGCACUAGCUGGUGACCAGGAUCUCAUAUGCCCACCUGAAGCUGUAGAGGCAACUGUUAAACUCAUACCUGAGCAACUGGUUACCUAUAAAGUAUUUGGAGAGCCUGGAGGUCCACAUUAUGCCCACUAUGAUUUGGUGGGAGGACGAUUGGCUGUGGAGCAGGUGUAUCCAUGUAUAACCCAAUUCCUUACUCAGCAUGACUCAGCGUGAUUACCUAGGCAAUGAAACUUCAUGCUACGGAUUGAAUUUGGUUUCCAAGCAGGGAGGAUGUACAGAUAAAGCAUUCCAUUCCUGGAGGACCUUAAAGAUUUUUAGCAGAAUUUACAUUGAUUUUACUAUCUUGUAAAUUAUCAAUAUAAUUGGUGUUAGGAGAAUCAAAGUCAAGCAAGAAGGAGCAAGGAAAGCAUUCUUUCCAUCAUACAGUGCCUGGAUCUCUGGUCAAUUGUGUAAUAAGAAUUUUGUUCAAAAUAUAUUAUUUCUUGCUUGUCUAACGCUAUAACCUGCCCAUGCCAACACCUUUAAAAGUGUCCUGUGAUAUCUGAUUCUGAGGUAUAAUUUGCUCUAA